rnacentral:rRNA from 1 species
UACGGAGGGAGCUAGCGUUAUUCGGAAUUACUGGGCGUAAAGCGCACGUAGGCGGCUUUGUAAGUUAGAGGUGAAAGCCCGGAGCUCAACUCCGGAACUGCCUUUAAGACUGCAUCGCUUGAAUCCAGGAGAGGUGAGUGGAAUUCCGUGUGUAGAGGUGAAAUUCGUAGAUAUUCGGAAGAACACCAGUGGCGAAGGCGGCUCACUGGACUGGUAUUGACGCUGAGGUGCGAAAGCGUGGGGAGCAAACAGG